rnacentral:rRNA from 1 species
CCUACGGGUGGCAGCAGUGAGGAAUAUUGGUCAAUGGGCUUACGCCUGAACCAGCCAAGUCGCGUGAGGGAAGACUGCCCUAUGGGUUGUAAACCUCUUUUGUCAGGGAGCAACGCCGGCUACGUGUAGCCGGACUGAGAGUACCUGAAGAAAAAGCAUCGGCUAACUCCGUGCCAGCAGCCGCGGUAAUACGGAGGAUGCGAGCGUUAUCCGGAUUUAUUGGGUUUAAAGGGUGCGUAGGCGGUCCGUUAAGUCAGCGGUAAAAUUGCGGGGCUCAACCCCGUCGAGCCGUUGAAACUGGCAGACUUGAGUUGGCGAGAAGUACGCGGAAUGCGCGGUGUAGCGGUGAAAUGCAUAGAUAUCGCGCAGAACUCCGAUUGCGAAGGCAGCGUACCGGCGCCAGACUGACGCUGAGGCACGAAAGCGUGGGGAUCGAACAGGAUUAGAUACCCGUGUAGUC